CAUUUCAUUUGGCUGGGGUGACAAUGUGAUUACACAGAUAGUUUUCCCAGAGUAAGGCUUACCCCCUGUACUCCAGGUGUGCUGAUCCACAUUUGGUGAAAUCACAGUCAAAACUUCACUGCAUAAAAUCUGUGGUAGCGGGAGAUUGUGUUUGCAUUCUUUCCUU